GGUAAAAUGGCUGAACAUUAGGCGAUAAAUUGUAAAUUUAUUUAUGAGAAUAUUCUCUUUUACU
rnacentral:tRNA from 1 species